rnacentral:rRNA from 1 species
GGUACAGGAUGGACCCGCGUCUGAUUAGCUAGUUGGUAAGGUAACGGCUUACCAAGGCGACGAUCAGUAGCCGACCUGAGAGGGUGAUCGGCCACAUUGGAACUGAGACACGGUCCAAACUCCUACGGGAGGCAGCAGUGGGGAAUAUUGCACAAUGGGGGCAACCCUGACGCAGCAACGCCGCGUGAGUGAAGAAGUACUUCGGUAUGUAAAGCUCUAUCAGCAGGGAAGAAAGUGACGGUACCUGAGUAAGAAGCCCCGGCUAACUAC